UACGUAGGGAGCAAGCGUUAUCCGGAAUUAUUGGGCGUAAAGGAUGCGUAGAUGGUCUAGUAAGUUAUCAGUGGUAAAUCGGGGCCCAACCUCGUGGAAGUUGGUAAUACUGUUAGACUUGAGUAUCGGAGAGGUUAACGGAACUCCCUGUGGAGCGGUGAAAUGUGUAGAUAUAGGGAAGAACACCAAACGGCGAAGGCAGUUAACUAUUCGGCUACUGACAUUGAGGCAUGAAAGCGUGGGGAGCAAAACGG
rnacentral:rRNA from 1 species